rnacentral:misc_RNA from 1 species
CAACUGUGCCGUUUCUGAUCUGUCUCGUUGUCUUCUGUGAGCCCUUUGAUCCUGGCUGCCUUCUUCGUUCUCCGUUUCACAGUGAACGGUGCCGAAGCUACUUCCGCCGACACCGGACCACUAAUGUGAUAAACUCACCGAGGGUGCUAAAAGCUUUGCAAGGAGGGAUCAUCUCUUAGAGUUUGAAAGAAAGUUCGAGGCUGGUGGGAUGAGAAAGAUGUUUUCAGGGCUGAACCUGGUGAAAGGCCUCCUGAGCCAGAUGAGAAAUUCUUUGGCAACUUUCCAUUUCCUUACAUGAAUGGGUUUUUGCAUCUUGGACAUGCAUUCUCCCUGUCCAAGAUUGAAUUUGCUGCUGCCUAUCAUAGAUUAAGGGGUGCGAAUGUGCUCUUGCCAUUUGCUUUUCACUGCACCGGUAUGCCCAUCAAGGCAUCAGCGGAUAAACUUCGUCGGGAGAUUCAGCAGUUUGGUGAUCCACCUGAUUUUGCCAAAGAAGAGGAUGAGCAAUUAAAAUCACAACCAGAACCUGAUGACGCACAUGGAAGUGUACCAGCAGAUAAGUUUAAGGGCAAAAAGUCAAAGGCUGCAUCAAAAUCGGGGGGACAAAUGUUCCAGUGGGAAAUUAUGUGCGGUUUUGGCCUUUCUGAUAGUGAGAUAUCAAAGUUCCAGGAUCCAUAUGAAUGGUUGAGGUUCUUUCCUCCAUUAGCCAUGGAAGAUCUUAAGGCUUUUGGCUUGGGCUGUGACUGGAGACGCACAUUUGUUACCACAGAUAUAAACCCAUACUUUGAUUCUUUUGUACAGUGGCAGAUGAGGAAACUAAAAUCCAUGGGCAAGAUCAUCAAACAUGUGCGUUACACAAUUUACUCUCCCUUAGAUGGCCAACCAUGUGCAGAUCACGACAGGGCAAUUGGUGAAGGAGUGCAGCCUCAGGAAUACACUGUUGUUAAGAUGGAGGUGUUGCCACCUUUCCCUGCUAAACUGGAGCCUUUAGGAGGGAAAAAGAUAUUCCUAGCUGCUGCUACAUUGAGACCUGAGACAAUGUAUGGACAAACAAAUGCCUGGGUCUUGCCUGAUGGUGAAUAUGGAGCUUUUGAAAUCAAUGAAACAGAUAUAUUUAUCCUCACAGAGAGAGCAGCCCUUAACCUUGCCUAUCAAAACUUCUCAAGGUUCCCCCAGAAACCUUGUUGCUUGCUUGCGUUAACUGGUUAUGAGCUGAUUGGCCUUCACUUGAAGUCUCCUCUUUCUUUCAACAAGAUCAUAUAUGCUCUUCCCAUGCUGACCAUUUUGACUGACAAAGGCACUGGCAUUGUGACCAGUGUACCUAGUGAUGCCCCUGAUGACUAUAUGGCAUUGCAUGAUUUGAAAGUAAAACCAGCUUUCAGGGCAAAGUAUGGUGUGAAAGAUGAAUGGGUAAUGCCCUUUGAUAUUGUACCGAUCAUUGAUAUUCCAGAAUAUGGAGAUAGGGCAGCUGAAAAAGUUUGCAUGGAUUUGAAAAUUAAGAGCCAAAAUGAGAAAGAGAAGCUUGCUGAAGCAAAGAGGUUAACCUACCUGAGAGGAUUCACAGAGGGGACAAUGCUUGUUGGUGAAUUUGCAGGGAGAAAAGUCCAGGAAGCAAAGCCAUUGAUUAGAGCCAAGCUCAUUGAGCUGGGUGAGGCAAUUAUGUAUAGCGAGCCUGAGAAGCGGGUCGUGUCAAGGUCUGGAGAUGGAUGUGUUGUGGCUCUUACUGAUCAAUGGUACAUUACUUAUGGGGAAGAAGAAUGGAAGAAACUGGCUGAGGAAUGCUUAUCCAAUAUGAAUCUCUACUCUGAUGAGACACGGCAUGGCUUUGAGCACACAUUAAGCUGGUUAAAUCAGUGGGCUUGUUCACGAUCUUUUGGGCUUGGGACUCGCAUUCCCUGGGAUAAAGAUUUCCUUGUUGAAUCCUUGUCUGAUUCCACUAUCUACAUGGCUUAUUACACUGUUGCUCACCUGCUUCAUAAUGAUGACAUGUAUGGUACAAACAAGCCUCAUCCUAUUCAGUCUGAGCAAAUGACUGAUGAGGUCUGGGAUUUUAUCAUCUGUGGUGGUCCAUAUCCCAAGUCAUCUAAUAUACCUUCAUCUAUACUUGAUAGGAUGAAGCAGGAGUUUGAAUAUUGGUACCCAUUUGAUCUUCGAGUCUCUGGUAAGGACCUCAUACAGAAUCAUUUGACAUUCAGCAUUUACAACCAUACUGCAAUCAUGGCCAAGCACCAUUGGCCUCGUGGAUUCAGGUGUAAUGGGCACAUUAUGCUCAAUUCUGAAAAGAUGAGCAAGUCUACUGGAAAUUUUAGGACAAUUCGGCAAGCUAUUGAGGAAUUCUCUGCUGAUGCAACACGAUUUUCUCUUGCUGAUGCUGGGGAUGGUGUUGAUGAUGCGAACUUUGUAUUUGAAACUUCAAAUGCUGCAAUCCUCCGCCUCACUAAAGAGAUUUCAUGGAUGGAGGAGGUUUUGGCUGCAGAAUCAUCUCUGAGAAUGGGCCCCCCAUCUACUUAUGCUGAUAGGGUCUUUGCAAAUGAGAUGAAUAUAGCUGUCAAAAUGACUGAACAAAAUUACCAAGGCUACAUGUUUAGAGAAGCUUUAAAAACUGGGUUUUAUGAUCUGCAAGCUGCCAGGGAUGAGUACAGGUUCUCAUGUGGCAGUGGGGGCAUGAACCGUGACUUGGUAUGGCGAUUUAUGGAUGUUCAGACUCGGCUUCUUACUCCUAUCUGUCCACACUAUGCAGAAUAUGUUUGGAGAGAGCUUUUGAAGAAGGAUGGAUUUGUGGUGAAUUCAGGCUGGCCGACAGCUAAUUCUCCUGAUCUAACUUUGAAGGCUGCCAACAAGUACUUGCAGGACUCAAUUGCUCUGAUGAGGAAGCUGCUUCAAAAACAACUCCUAGGUUCAAAGAAGGCCAAUAAGGAUGGAGCUCCAGUUGCAACGCUGACUGAAGACAAGAUAACAGGUUUAAUAUAUGUGAACGAGCAAUUUAAUGGAUGGAAGGCAGAAUGCUUGAGGAUACUCCAAAGAAAAUUUGACCAUAAGACCUGUGCUUUUGCCCCUGAUGGGGAGAUAAUGGAGGCACUAAAGAAUAGUUCUGUUGGCCAGGCCACAAAUUUUAAACAAACACAAAAACUUUGCAUGCCUUUCUUGAGGUUCAAGAAGGAUGAGGCCAUUGCACUUGGAGCUAAGGCCUUGGAUCUGAGGCUACCUUUUGGAGAGAUUGAGAUCCUUCAGGAGAACUUGGACUUGAUUAAGAGACAAAUUGGUCUUGAAGAGGUGGAAAUAUUGGCAGCAAGUGACCCUGAUGCUCUUGCUAAAGCUGGUUCUCUUGUCUCACUGCUGAACCAGAAUCCUGCCUCUCCUGGUAGCCCAACUGCCAUCUUCUUGACCAGUUGAGUGGACUCAUUCUCAGUUAUUCAGUGCAUCUUCUUCAAGGUAAUUGAUACUUGACAACCCCACCACAGAGAUAUGAUGGAAGAAAUAUCGACUCUUGUGCAGUGCUAAUGAUAUUUAUUACAUAGAUUGCAUUAGAGAAGAAAGUACUUGUGCAGACCAAAGAAGUUCCUGUGAAUGUUCUGCUGGGAUGCUAUCAGUUUGAAAAGUAGUCUAUUCUAUCAACAAUGGAAGUAGGAACUUACAGUCUCCUUACAUUGAACUGAUAUACAUCUUGAAUUUUGUCUUAUUAUUUUGGUGGUUGAUGAACUGGAGUAGAUGUUUGGGGAAGUUGGCAUGGGUUAAAAUCAGUUUCCUGUCUACAGGGUUGUACUCUACCCUU